CUAAAUCAGUUCUUCUAUCUCACUGAAAAGUUCUUCUUUAGGUUAUUCUGUCUUGUUUUAAGUGUGAUCAGAUAUUUGGAACAGAAAUGAGACAUACACUUAGUCAGAUUUAGGUUUUUGCAGUGAAUACAUACAAACAAACACA